UCUGUACUUAUAAGAUGGCAGGUAUUAAAUAAUAUUUUAAAGGGAAAAAACGAAAAGAAGAGGGUUGGUGCAGCAUAUGCGUGGUUAGAUAUAGAAUUUUUCAAGAGGGUGGAAAGUAUCAAUAGGAAAACUCGAAUCAUAAUAAUUAAUUCAAGAAAUAAAUAUAUUAUAGAUGUAUUUGAUAUACCCAAUAUUAUAUCAUUCUAAAAAAUGAUUAGAAAGCAAAUUAUACAUAUAUGCAUCUGGCCUCUGUUAUGCAUGACUGAUGCUUGAAAGUACUAUAUACUUUAUCUAUUAAUUACAUUACAUAUUACAUUAUAUAUUCUUUAUAUAAAAAAAAAAAAAUAAAAUAAAAAAUACAUAUUCUUUCACAUUUUUUACAAAUUCAAAAUAUAAUAUAUUCACAAUGUACAAUAUUAUAAAUAUAAAUAUAAUAAUAUAAAAUAUAAAUAUAUCUAUAAAAAUAUUCACAAAUUAAAAAAUUUUUGUAAUAUUUGAAAAUUUCUUGUAAUAUCAUAGAAAUUAUAUAAAAAAUAAAAAUAAUCUUGUAUAAUUGUAAUAAUAAUUGUAAUAAUCUCUAAAAUUAUAUAUUUUGCAGCUAUGAUUUUUUUUAUACCUUAAAAAAUAUAUUGAAUUGAAUACAUAGAAUUAAUAAAUUUAUUUUAAUUAAAUGCUAUGCAGAUGUAUAUUUUAAAUAUAUAUCUUCUAAAUAGAAUGUACAAAAGAUUAUUAAAGAUCAAUGUAAAAAGGAAAAUAAAGUAAAAAAUCUGUAAUGAUUUCCUAUAACAAUAAUAAUAAUAAUUAUAUAUAAAGUAUAACAUUUUUGAAGAUAUUAAAUGUGUUAAAUUAUAACAAA